CUUAACUUACAUUAACCUACGCGACAGAAAACAUAACGUGCGUGAUUAUUUUUUUUACCAUUAUAACGUGCGUGAUUAUCACCUCCAUGCGUGAUUAUCACCUCUCAUGCGUGAUUAUCACCAAAUAACUGCUCCCAUGCGUGAUUAACUGAUCCAUGCGUGAUUAUGGCCCUGAUCUGAUGGUUCUGCUUGUCGCGUACGUGAAGUAUGAUAAGGCUUUUUGUAUGUUAACCUUUCUCUGUCUCUCUCUCUCUAUCUAUAUAGAUAUAUAGAUAUAUAGAUAUAUAUAUAUAUAUGAAAGGAUUUGGGCUGAUGUGGCAGUUUCUUAGAGCUUCUCACAAUGGGUUUUGGCGGGAAACUGCCCGGAUCAAGAAAUGGCACGCGGAUCCUGAUCGUUUUAGUAACCCACCCAUCUAUUCGGAUCUAAUAUAAAAACCCAUUUAAAACACAAUUUUCUCUUCUUUCAUCAUUAUCAACCGCCUCUUUCUCUCUCUAUUCUUUUCCUUCACUGCUUCACACCGAAACCCUAGCCUCCGUGUUCCUUUGGCUUGAAGCUUCUACAUCUCAUUUUCUCUGAAAACAUUCGCUUGUGCUUGAAUCGACUGAUAAAGGAAACACGCUUUGCCCUUUCCAAUUCCUGCUCUCAAACCCUACUGUCCGAAUACACAUCUUCCCUUUCACGUUUCCUGCCGAUCAAUUGAUUUAUCAAUCCUAUAAUAGUAUAAUAUACUAAUCUCAUCAAUGUAAGUUUCUCUCUAUUACUUGCUCUCUACACCCUCUUCGAUCGCUGCUUUGGUUUUCCCUGGUAUGUAACACUUUGACAAUUGUUUUAUGGUUUAAUUUGGGGGUUUUAGGGUUUUGUUACUUUAGGUUUAUGUUUUGAUUUGGUGCUUUAAUUUGCGUUGUUUUUUUUAAAUUGGUUGUUUAGGGUUAUGUUCUUGCUUUUUUGUUAUCGAGUGUUUGAUUCUGUGGAAAAGAACAUCAGAUUCAUAUUUGAAUAACUAAAAUAAAUUCAUGUUUAUGCUAUAAGUAUAUGCAGGGGCGGAACCAGAGGGGGGUCAAGAGAGUCCGUUGACCCUCCGGUCACCGGAACUUUUUCAAUUUUUAUAUAUAAAUUUUGAGUUUUUGAAAAACAAACUUAGAGAUGGACCCCCUAAUUUGAACCAGUAUAGAAUAUAAGCUUAUGAUGACCCCCUAACUAAAUCGUUCUGGUUCCGCCACUGAGUAUAUGUUGUGCCGGGUUCAAGACAUUUUGAUUAUGGGGUAUGCAUCUUGUUGGUAUUUUAUUUAUUGACGUAUGUAUAUGAUCAGAUAGUUAAAAUGUUGGUUCAAACAAUACUAUAUUUGUAUUCAUACUUGAGGUAGUGUUGCAAUGUUGUUGUAGUUUUAGAUGUCAAGAAAAUGAGUAAUUUGUUGUAUUAACGUAGGUUGAAAGCCGUCAUCAAUUGGCCUAGAUGGGUAUUCAAGAAAAUAAAGGCAUAAGUGGGAGUUUGGGUUCGUUUCUUACUCGCAGGUGCUUCACCUUUAUCUUGGACUUUUUAAAAGUGCAAGAUAAUCAUUCAUUGAAAACAAUAAUAAUACAACGGUGCCAUAGAUAUUUGUCACUAAAUUAUAUUUUACUUCACUAACCAUCAACAUUUGUUAUUGUUUAGUAUGUGCAUUAAUCACUUUUUGCAGAUGCUUUGGUUGUCUUAUGAGGGGCUACUUAGAAGGUGAGUAAUUAAUGGUUAUUUUGGAAACUUUGCACUAAUUUUUAUGCUAAAUGGUGAUGAUGUUGAUUUGUGAGGUUUUGGUGUGUGUUGCCUGGUUUAGAAGAAGAGGAUAUUCCUCAACUAUACCCAAAAUGGCCAAAUCUUGCUAUGUAAUCCUUUAAUAUUUAGUUACUUUUUUCAUAUCAAAUUUUAAACAAUUUUAUUAUUUACAAAAUUGCUAAUUUUUUUAAAGAGUUGUUGGACAUGUUAGGUGAAAAACAAAAAGCAAGAAUCAAUGGUGGCUGGUGGCUGAUGAUGCUUUUUCAUCAAAAUGGAGUUUCAGAGAGGAAAGAUUGGAUAAAGAUGAAGGCUUGAAAGGGCAGAUUGGGUUGUUAGUUUCAAGACUUUAGGGUGCUUAAGAUACUGAUUGCUUGCUGAAAGGGCACUUUCCAAGGCUUCUAAUGACGAAUCUGAACAAGUUGGCAAAAAGGUGACUGACCUUGAGAAACAAUUGAAAAUGGAGAUAAAAUCAUGAAACAGAGCCAGAGCCGAAAAGAUCUGGUAAAAGACAUAAAUGCUCUUUAGAUGAUGGUAAUUUUGGGUCUUUUGAUGAGGAUAUUUUGACUAGUCUAAUGAGAAUAAGAGUCAGAAAGAAAGAUGGAGCUGAAAAUCUUUUAAAAGAAGAAGAUGACAGUGGGCAUGAUUUUUCUUUCAACAACUUAUAUCAUGAGUUAGUUACUGUCAUUCAAAGGUAUACAAUCUUUUCGUUCAGUUUACCAUUCUACCCUUUCUUUGUUCAUAACAAUAUCGCCUCUAGCUCUAUUCUGGACCGAUUAUUGUGUUGCGAGAAAUUUGUCACGGAUAUCUUAAGCUUGAAAACACACUGUUGGAAAUGCAGCUCCUCGUGUUAAAAAUACUUAAAAUAUGUGAUUUUGGGUAUUCAAAGGUAAUUAAUUUACUAAGUUUUCAUAUUUAUUUUACAGGUCCUCAUACCAGAAUUCAAAGAUUGGAUAAUAAGUGGCUGUUAAUAUUCAUAUAAUUUAUUAUUAUUGUUAUUAUUUUUUUUUUUGCAUACAGUCAUCACUUAGGCGUUCCCAAUCAAAGUCAACUGCAGAUUACAUUGCACCAGAAGUUCUUUCAAGAGAAGAAUAUGAUGGAAAUGUGGCUCCUUUGAGCUUUUAGUUAUUUACUAGACAUGCAAUAUAAUGUUAUUUCUUAUUUGAAUUACCAUACUUGACUCAUCCUAACACACACUGUUCUUGUGAAAAACGAUAAAUUAAAUCGUUAAAAAAUUAAAAGUUAAA